rnacentral:rRNA from 1 species
AUGGAUACACUUGCCACGUACGUAGCCCAUAAUCAUCCCAUCCGCGUACACGGACGGACGCAACCGCAAAGCGCGCUUGCUUUUACCUGCUCGCGGCGUGUAAUCUUGUCUGCCACAUACUUCAAUCUCGAGAUUUUUCUUUUCUCUUCUUGGUUGCUUGGUGAAGGAGUUCUUCCACGCCCGGUGGAUUCUAGCCUAACAUGCAACCUCCGUGUGGAGGAAGCAAAACAGGGUCCAAGAUUAAGAUUUACAAGUCAAAACAAUUUGCUUCUUUUGGGUGAAAAAAACAAUUUGCUUUUGAUCAGACAAAGAGAAACGAAAAAGGAAAUGGCACUCCUGGCUAGGUUGGGUGGGUUAGGGCACACCUAA